UACGGGGGGAGCAAGCGUUGUUCGGAUUUACUGGGCGUAAAGGGCGCGUAGGCGGCGUAACAAGUCACUUGUGAAAUCUCCGGGCUUAACCCGGAGCGGCCAAGUGAUACUGUUGUGCUAGAGUGCGGAAGGGGCUACUGGAAUUCACGGUGUAGCAGUGAAAUGCGUAGAUAUCGUGAGGAAGACCAGUGGCGAAGGCGGGUCUCUGGACAGUUCCUGACGCUGAGGCGCGAAGGCCAGGGGAGCAAACGGG
rnacentral:rRNA from 1 species